UUUAUUUCACAAAGUGGCUGC
rnacentral:siRNA from 1 species